rnacentral:rRNA from 1 species
ACGCUGGCGGCAGGCUUAACACAUGCAAGUCGAACGGUAGCAGGAGAAAGCUUGCUUUCUUGCUGACGAGUGGCGGACGGGUGAGUAAUGCUUGGGAAUCUGGCUUAUGGAGGGGGAUAACUACGGGAAACUGUAGCUAAUACCGCGUAGUGUCGAGAGACGAAAGUGCGGGACCGCAAGGCCGCAUGCCAUGAGAUGAGCCCAAGUGGGAUUAGGUAGUUGGUGGGGUAAAGGCCUACCAAGCCUGCGAUCUCUAGCUGGUCUGAGAGGAUGGCCAGCCACACUGGAACUGAGACACGGUCCAGACUCCUACGGGAGGCAGCAGUGGGGAAUAUUGCGCAAUGGGGGGAACCCUGACGCAGCCAUGCCGCGUGAAUGAAGAAGGCCUUCGGGUUGUAAAGUUCUUUCGGUAUUGAGGAAGGAGUGUAUGUUAAUAGCAUACAUUAUUGACGUUAAAUACAGAAGAAGCACCGGCUAACUCCGUGCCAGCAGCCGCGGUAAUACGGAGGGUGCGAGCGUUAAUCGGAAUAACUGGGCGUAAAGGGCACGCAGGCGGUUAUUUAAGUGAGGUGUGAAAGCCCCGGGCUUAACCUGGGAAUUGCAUUUCAGACUGGGUAACUAGAGUACUUUAGGGAGGGGUAGAAUUCCACGUGUAGCGGUGAAAUGCGUAGAGAUGUGGAGGAAUACCGAAGGCGAAGGCAGCCCCUUGGGAAUGUACUGACGCUCAUGUGCGAAAGCGUGGGGAGCAAACAGGAUUAGAUACCCUGGUAGUCCACGCUGUAAACGCUGUCGAUUUGGGGAUUGGGCUUAAAGCUUGGUGCCCGUAGCUAACGUGAUAAAUCGACCGCCUGGGGAGUACGGCCGCAAGGUUAAAACUCAAAUGAAUUGACGGGGGCCCGCACAAGCG